rnacentral:rRNA from 1 species
GGAUUUGGGGGACAGCCUAUACAUGCAGUCGAACGAACUCUGGUAUUGAUUGGUGCUUGCAUCAUGAUUUACAUUUGAGUGAGUGGCGAACUGGUGAGUAACACGUGGGAAACCUGCCCAGAAGCGGGGGAUAACACCUGGAAACAGAUGCUAAUACCGCAUAACAACUUGGACCGCAUGGUCCGAGUUUGAAAGAUGGCUUCGGCUAUCACUUUUGGAUGGUCCCGCGGCGUAUUAGCUAGAUGGUGGGGUAACGGCUCACCAUGGCAAUGAUACGUAGCCGACCUGAGAGGGUAAUCGGCCACAUUGGGACUGAGACACGGCCCAAACUCCUACGGGAGGCAGCAGUAGGGAAUCUUCCACAAUGGACGAAAGUCUGAUGGAGCAACGCCGCGUGAGUGAAGAAGGGUUUCGGCUCGUAAAACUCUGUUGUUAAAGAAGAACAUAUCUGAGAGUAACUGUUCAGGUAUUGACGGUAUUUAACCAGAAAGCCACGGCUAACUACGUGCCAGCAGCCGCGGUAAUACGUAGGUGGCAAGCGUUGUCCGGAUUUAUUGGGCGUAAAGCGAGCGCAGGCGGUUUUUUAAGUCUGAUGUGAAAGCCUUCGGCUCAACCGAAGAAGUGCAUCGGAAACUGGGAAACUUGAGUGCAGAAGAGGACAGUGGAACUCCAUGUGUAGCGGUGAAAUGCGUAGAUAUAUGGAAGAACACCAGUGGCGAAGGCGGCUGUCUGGUCUGUAACUGACGCUGAGGCUCGAAAGUAUGGGUAGCAAACAGGAUUAGAUACCCUGGUAGUCCAUACCGUAAACGAUGAAUGCUAAGUGUUGGAGGGUUUCCGCCCUUCAGUGCUGCAGCUAACGCAUUAAGCAUUCCGCCUGGGGAGUACGGCCGCAAGGCUGAAACUCAAAGGAAUUGACGGGGGCCCGCACAAGCGGUGGAGCAUGUGGUUUAAUUCGAAGCUACGCGAAGAACCUUACCAGGUCUUGACAUACUAUGCAAAUCUAAGAGAUUAGACGUUCCCUUCGGGGACAUGGAUAC